GAGUUUGAUCCUGGCUCAGGAUGAACGCUAGCGAUAGGCCUAACACAUGCAAGUCGAGGAGCAGCGGGGUAGCAAUACCGCCGGCGACCGGCGCACGGGUGAGUAACACGUAUGCAACCUGCCAUAUACAGGGGGAUAGCCCGUCGAGAGACGGAUUAAUACCGCAUAACACAGGGGAGUCACAUGAUUCUAUUUGUUAAAGAUUUAUCGGUAUAUGAUGGGCAUGCGUUGGAUUAGAUAGUUGGUGCAGGUAACGGCUCACCAAGUCAGCGAUCCAUAGGGGAACUGAGAGGUUAAUCCCCCACACCGGUACUGAGACACGGACCGGACUCCUACGGGAGGCAGCAGUGAGGAAUAUUGGUCAAUGGUCGAGAGACUGAACCAGCCAAAUCGCGUGAAGGAAGAAGGUAUUAUGUAUUGUAAACUUCUUUUAUGAGGGAAUAAAGUGCACCACGCGUGGUGUUUUGUAUGUACCUUAUGAAUAAGCAUCGGCUAACUCCGUGCCAGCAGCCGCGGUAAUACGGAGGAUGCGAGCGUUAUUCGGAUUUAUUGGGUUUAAAGGGUGCGCAGGCGGCUGCUUAAGUCAGCGGUGAAAUCUCGAUGCUUAACAUCGAAACUGCCGUUGAAACUGAUCAGCUUGAGUAUAAACGAGGCAGGCGGAAUUCGUAGUGUAGCGGUGAAAUGCAUAGAUAUUACGAAGAACCCCGAUAGCGCAGGCAGCUUGCCAGCUUAUCACUGACGCUCAGGCACGAAAGUGUGGGUAUCAAACAGGAUUAGAUACCCUGGUAGUCCACACAGUAAACGAUGAUUACUCGCUGUUUGCGAUAUACAGUAAGCGGCCAAGCGAAAGCAUUAAGUAAUCCACCUGGGGAGUACGCCGGCAACGGUGAAACUCAAAGGAAUUGACGGGGGCCCGCACAAGCGGAGGAACAUGUGGUUUAAUUCGAUGAUACGCGAGGAACCUUACCCGGGCUCGAACGGCUGUUGAAUGAAUGUGAAAGCAUUCAGUCGCAAGACAACA
rnacentral:rRNA from 1 species